UCCAAAUUGAGCACUGAUGGGAGUCCUUAGCGUGCUUCAACGACACUCUCUCAUAUCAAUCUCUCUCUUUCUUUGCUCCUGCUAUUAAAAUGUGUAGAUGUGCUGCUUUGCUAAUUGAGUAGUUGGGAAGAUGUGAAAAGAACAUGCUCUCUAGGUGUGUGAUUAUUCCUGUGAGCACAAAUGUAUUUAAAUGUUUAUUUUGUGCUUCAGCUUAUGCUUUUGGGCAGUACAAAUACAUCUUCAAAAAUAAGUACAGAUGCGGUCUUAUAGAACUCUAAUUGUUGUUGGAUGCUAUUCCAAAUGCCAAUGAUCAUGCAAAACGGUUAUUGCUAGAAUCUAGAUGAUAUGUAAUGUAGUUACCAUAGUUUCACCCUAUUUUUAUGGUUCUAAUUAUUCUUGCAUAAGUCUUUAAAAGAAAUGUUCGCUAAAUGUUUGUCAUCAUUGCUUGUAGGUACUCGUAUGAACAUUAAAAUAAUGGCUUUUCUUGUAGGAGGUUCAAAGAUUGUCGUGGAGCAAGUUCAAGAGAUCAGUUUGGUGAAAAUAAUGUGAUCUUUUGCUCAGGAUUUUGCAUGAUCCAUAGCCAUCAGACAAGUAGUUCAAGGCCUACUAUGCGAGUCGUCCAUCGUUUUCUACGCAUGAUGAGCUUGUUGUCUCUACACAUCUAGCAUCGGAGUAUCUCCUCCCCUUGCCGCACACACAUGCCCGCGGUCGAGCUAGUGUUGUUUGUGAUUGCUGGUCGUGACGCUUACGUUGUCAUUGGACAAAUAAUUUGUUCUGUAACUCUGUACUGAUGGGACCUUCAGCAUAUAUGGUGUUUAGAAUUUGUUUGUAACUCUGUACUGUCGGGACCUUCAGCAUAUAUGGUGAUCUCAGUAUUCUAAUCUGUAGGCCAAAAAUGGUGAACAUUUAAACAUCAGUUCAAUUUAAUAAAACUGAGAAGUCCUACUUUCGGUAAAUAGCUGAACCUGGGUACAACAAAGUUCUACCAUUAGUCAUGGGGAUUAUCCGUUAAGGUGUACUAUGUUUUUUUGUCAGUUUAUGUGCUUUUUGUUUGUCGGGCCAUGUGCAAGUUCGUUAUCGGUUCAUGUGUAUGUGUGUUGGUAACCACUGUUAUUGCUGCAAGGUACCGAUCUGACCAUGUAUAUGUUAUUCAUGGACAUGUAUUAUAUGUGUGAAAAUUUUUCUAUAUAUGAUGAGAUGAUUGCUACUUCAAAGAAGGUAUAGGUACAUGACAGCUUGAUAUGCAUGCAAGAAUAAAAAAAUGGUUUGAUUCAAAAAUAUUGAUCAGUAUGAAUUAAAAAUGAUCAGUUUGAAAAAAAAAAGAUGGUUAGGUUUUGGUAUUCUGUAACGUUGACGUCCAAGAGUUAACAUCCAAGAAAACUUCCAAGUUCUGCAACUGAUCCGUCUAGAUGGGAUAAGGAGGUCAGUCCAGCAUGCGCAUCUCAAGUGUCAUGUCAGUGCCGCCCACCCGUCGCCAUGCCUCUCCGCCGCAUGUCGUGUCGUGCCACCUUGCCAUCAGCCACCGUUGUGGCUCAACUCUGUAGUGCUUCAACGAUCACCAGACGCAGCUUCCUUCUAUUGUUGUCCUCGCCCUGCUCUCCUCAAUAUUGGCAUUGCAAAAACACAUCAAGUUCACAAUUAAAAAAUUGUAAGUUCAACACGACGUCCCAGAUAAGUUUGAGAGAAAAGCUCAAACAAAAUGAAACCCAAUGAAAACUCAAAUGGUAAAAGUUCAAGUUGCAAAACAAGAGAAGUCCAAAACAUCUUGCAAGAAAAUUGAGUUAAAAAAACAAACACAUGAAAUUAUUUCCUUUGUCCUCGCCCUGCUCUCCUAAAUAUUGGCAUUGCAAAAACACAGCAAGUUCACAAUUAAAAAAGUUGCAAGUUUAACAUGACGUCCCAGAUAAGUUUUAAGAAAAAAGCUCAAACAAAAUGAAACCCAAUGAAAAAUCAAAUGGUAAAAGUUCAAGUCGCAAAACAAGAGAAGUCCAAAACAUCUUGCUGAGUUAAAAAAACAAAUAGACGAAAUUAUUUCCUUUAAAAAAUAUCACUUAGUUCAACGAUAUAAACCAUGCAAGUUCGGGGACUAUGAUACCCCAAAAACAGAGUGAAGUCUAGUAUGUGAAAACAUGCUCAGUACAAAACCAUACGAACAUCAGUGCAAGUACUCUUUUCACGGAACCAUUCAAAAUUACUUUGAAAAAUACCUCAGUACAAACACACACAUAGAUCAGUACAAGUACUCUUUUUUUGGACAGAAAAACAACACGAUGAGUCUCACCAUAUUUCAAAAUUACUCUUAAAAGAUGAGAGCAACUACAAAAUCAUAAAGACAUCCGUUCAAAGUAUUUUUUUUCGGAACCAUUCAAAACUACUCUGUGAAAAAUACCUCAGUACAAACAUAGACAUAGAUCAGUACGAGUACUCUGUUUUUUAGACACGAAAAAACAACACAAUGGGUUUCACCUUAUUCAAAAUUACUUUCAAACGGUUUCAAAGUAGAGAAAAUGUUCAACAUGACUAAGCUUUGCAUUUUUGACAGCUAUCCAACAGUAUAUUAUUUGCCCCAUUUCGACAAACUUUUUAAAAGAACCGCGUUCAAAACCAAUUUUAACCGUAUUUGAAUUUGUAUUUAAACUGUAAGGAAUUAGAAAAAACUUUCUAUACGCAAAAGUUGCGCAUUUUCCAUAGCUUUCCAACACCAUAUCAUUUGCGUCAAUCCGACAGACCGUUUGCAAAAAACAGUGAAAAAACAUUUCUCCCAGAAUUUCACCAUUUUUCAAAUUACUUUUAAAUCGUAUAGAAUUUGAAAAAAUAGUAGAUAUAUGGAAGAUGCGGAUUUUCACAAGCUUUCCAACGUCAUCUCAUUUUCUCAAUUCCGACAAACCGUUUGAAAAUUAAGUAGAAAAUACGAUUCAUGUUUUCGGUUUUGAAAAAAACGUUUUUUUCAAAACUGCUCUUAAAUCAUAAAAAAAAAUUCAAAAACAAAUUGUAAGAUUGUAAUGUGGAUGUCAAGAGCUUUUCAACGAUAUAUUACACGCCCCAUUCAAGACGAUUUUUAACAGCAAGAGAAAGCAUCAGUUCAACCGCUCGAAUUUCAUCAGUUCAACCGCUUGAAUUCAUCAGUUCAAGUAGGGUAACAGAAUAAUAUUCUAUUACAUGUAACAGAAUAGCCCAGAUGUAUACACACACACACACACACUUAUAAGGACAUGGUUGCAUAACCAAAUUAAAUAUCCAAUUACAUAGGUGGCUACUACAACCAUGGCAUUUGCACACACCAAAGUAAACUGUUACAUGCAUAAUUUGAUAGGUGGCUACUACACACAUGACACUUCCACACACCAAUAAAGUAAACUAUAUAUUACACGCAUGAUUAACAAGCAUAAACGAUCAUCCGGUCAUCAUCUACUUCUUGUGACGCUUGCUCUGCUUGUGGCUCGAUCCGGGCUCGUCGAUUUGGUAACGAGGCACUUCGUCAUGUCAACGAGCCGUCUGUGCACCUCGUAGCAUGUGUACACGCUCUUGGCCGCGAACCUGAGGUGAGGUUCAUCAAGUCGCCGCAUCUAGGCCCUGUGCCAGGAUACGAGACUUGUUCUCUGGGCAUCCUGCUUCAUCUUUUCGUAGUAGGGGUCGAUGAUGGCCGAGGCGAGUUCGACUAGGGAGUCCUUCUUCGUGCUGCCCCAGACUCUGUAUUGGUCACGGAUUUAGACAAGGUUCUUGCAGGACAAGCCCGUAACACUGAUAGCUUUUACAUCAUCGGUGGUUUCCACCGUGGCGAACUUGUAGUCGAUGCUGUUGACAAACCUAUUGUAACGGUCGCAAGGCUCUAUGGUCAUGCAGUAGUGGUAGAUGAGGACAUGAUGGCGCAUGCACAACUGGGCAACAACAACCUUCUGAUCUUUGCCGGGAACACCGGCGGUGUACUGGACGUCGAUGCCGACCACCUUGUACUUGUCUCCAGCAAGCAACUGCUCAAUGGUAUUGAUGUACUCCUCCACCACAGUCGGGUCGAUGAUGUACACCACCGAGAGAUCCGUCUCCGUCGCGUGGGUAUCCACUUUAUGCUCGCCGAACUCCAUUGGAGCACCGCUAGACAUCCCCUCUCUAUGUGUCAUCGUGGGAGUGCUUGUUGUGUUGUGGGGAGCGAUCGAAAGGUUGAAGAGAUUAAGGUUAUAAUGGCCGCGGGAAUUAAGGGGGAGGCCAGACGGCACGCCCUGAUGGCAGUUCUCAUUCGCAGCGCGUAACUCCAUCGUGCCGCACGUAACUGCAUCGCGUGGCAAUGCGCGAGGUGCAACUGCAUGCAUAUGGGGCCCCCGACUGAUCGUGCGCAGGCCCAACCACUGGCAGAGCACGCGGGGAGGGACACGAGCAGAGCGCUCCGCGGUCGCCUCAACGGCGAGGAACCAUACAUAUGCAUAUAGCAGUUGAACACGCAAGAAAAAGUUGUCCACAACCCGAGCGCGCCGCGGCACCUAACGGCGAGUAGAGCUCGCCGAGGGACACGAGCAGAGGCCGGCGCCGUGUGUGUUGUGGGCAAACACUUGCUGUUAUAUAACCUCAAAUUUAACCAACAAAAUGUUACUGCAUGUUACAAAAAUUAUAUAAGUGGAAACUAUGUUCAAAUACAAAUCCGACGAUAUAAUUUUUGGCGACAUGCAUUCGUAUUUUAUUAAUUAAACCCUACUUAUAAACCAGGAUGGGCGUAGUUAAUUAAAUCGCAAAUAUAUUUUUAUUAAACGUAUGUGUAUGUGUCCUUUUGUCCUUCUCUCGCACGUCUUGUCACCCCACUGCUGCAGACGGUUCGAGCGCAAACUUGAGCAGCACGCGGGGGUGUUUUUUGGCCAAACGGUGUUGAGCCCGUUCCCGCGCAACCGCGUAGGUUCCUGAUAACCCACAAGUGUAGGGGAUCGCAACAACUUUCGAGGGUAAAGUAUUCAACCCAAUUUUAUUGAUUCAACACAAGGGGAGCCAGAGAAUAUUUUUGAGUCUUAGCAGUUGAGUUGUCAAUUCAACCACACCUGGAUAACUUAGUAUCUGCAGCAAAGUAUUUAGUAGCAAAGUAGUACGAUAAUAAAGGUAACAGUAGCAAAAGUAAUGUUUUAGGGUUUUGUAGUGAUUGUAACAAUAGCAACGGAAAAGUAAAUAAGCGAAGAACAAUAUGUGAGAAGCUCGUAGGCAAUGGAUCAGUGAUGGAUAAUUAUGUCGGAUGCGAUUCCUCAUGUAAUAGCUAUAACAUAGGGUGACACAGAAUUAGCUCCAGUUCAUCAGUGUAAUGUAGGCAUGUCAUACGUGCUUAUGGAAAAGAACUUGCAUGACAUCUUUUGUCCUACCCUCCCGUGGCAGCGGGGUCCUAGCGGAAACUAAGGGAUAUUAAGGCCUCCUUUUAAUAGAGAACCGAAACAAAGCAUUAGCACAUAGUGAAUACAUGAACUCCUCAAACUAUGGUCAUCACUGAGAAGUAUCCCGAUUAUUGCCACUUCGGGGUUUUCGGAUCAUAACACAUAAUAGGUGACUAUAGACUUGCAAGAUAGGAUCAAGAACACACAUAUAUUCAUGAAACAUAAUAGGUUCAAAUCUGAAAUCAUGGCACUCGGGCUCUAGUGACAAGCAUUAAGCAUAGCAAAGCCAUAGCAACAUCAAUCUCAGAACAUAGUGGAUACCAGGGAUCAAACCCUAACGAAACUAACUUGAUUACAUGGUAAAUCUCAUCCAACCCAUCACCGUCCAGCAAGCCUACGAUGAAAUUACUCACACACGGCGGUGAGCAUCAUGAAAUUGGUGAUGGAGGUUGGUUGAUGAUGAUGACGACGACGAAUCCCCCUCUCCGGAGCCCCGAACGGACUCCAGAUCAGCCCUCCCAAAAGAGAUUAGGGCUUGGCGGCGGCUCCGUAUCGUAAAACGCGAUGAAACUUUCUCUCUGAUUUUUUUCUCCGUGAAACAGAAUAUAUGAAGUUGGAGUUGAGGUCGGCGGAGCCUCAGGGGGCCCACGAGACAGGGGGCACGCCCAGGGGGAGGGCGCACCCCCCACCCUCGUCGACAGGGUGUGGGCCCCCUGAUCUUGAUUCUUUCGCCAGUAUUUUUUAUAUUUCCAAAAAGUGCCUCCGUGGAUUUUCAGGACAUUCCGAGAACUUUUGCUUUCUACACAUAAAACAACAUCAUGGCAGUUCUGCUGAAAACAACGUCAGUCCUGGUUAGUUUCAUUCAAAUCAUGCAAGUUAGAGUCCAAAAUAAGGGCAAAAGUGUUUGGAAAAGUAGAUAUGUUGGAGACGUAACUCCCCCAAGCUUAAACCUUUGCUUGUCCUCAAGCAAUUCAGUUGAUAAACUGAAAGUGAUAAAGAAAAACUUUUACAAACUCUGUUUGCUCUUGUUGUUGUAAACAUGCAAAGCCAGCAUUCAGGUUUUAGCAAAUAUUAUGAACUAACCAUAAUCAUAAUAACAACCAGGUCUCACAAUUACUCAUAUCAAUAGCAUAAUCAGCUAGCAGGCCAUAAUAAUAAAACUCGAAUGACAACACUUUCUCAAAACAAUCAUAACAUGAUUUAACAAAAUGGUGUCUCGCUAGCCCUUUCUGAGACCGCAAAACAUAAAUGCAGAGUACCUUUAAAGAUCGAUGACUGAAUAAACAUUGUAAUUCAUGGUAAAAGAGAUCCAGUCAAGUCAUACCCAAUAUAAACCAACAAUAAUGAAUGCAAAUGACAGUGUGCUAUCCAGCGGGUGCUUUUUAAUAAGAAGGGUGAUGACUCAACAUAAAAGUAAAUAGAUAGGCCCUUCGCAGAGGGAAGCAGGGAUUUGUAGAGGUGCCAGAGCUCGAUUUUAAAAUAGAGAGGAAUAACAUUUUGAGCAACUAUGAGAUGGCUGUAUCUUCCAUACUACAUGCAUUAUAGGCAGUUCCCAAACAGAAUGGUAAAGGUUUAUACUCUCCCAACCACCAACAAGCAUCAAUCCAUGGCUUGCUCGAAACAACGAGUGCCUCCAACUAACAACAACCCUGGGGGAGUUUUGUUUAAUUAUUUUGAUUUGCUUUGAUCUUUUUGGAUCAUGGGACUGGGCAUCGGUUAGCGGCCCUUUCUCGUGAAUGAGGAGCGGAGUCCACUCCUAUUGAGAAUAACCCACCUAGCAUGGAAGAUAUAAGCAGCCCUAGUUGAAACAUGAGCUGCUCGAGCAUACAAAACAGAAUUUCAUUUGAAGGAUUGGAGUUUGGCACAUACAAAUUUACUUGGAACGGCAGGUAAAUACGGCAUAUAGGUAGGUAUGGUGGACUCAUAUGGAAUAACUUUGGGCUUUAUGGAGUUUGGAUGCACAAGCAGUAUUCCCGCUUAGUACAGGUGAAGGCUAGCAAAAGACUAGGAAGCGACCAACUGAGAGAGAGACAACAGUCAUAAACAUGCACUAAAAUUAAUUUACACCGAGUACAAGCAUGAGUAGGAUAUAAUCUACCAUGAACAUAAAUAUCAUGAAGGCUAUGUUGAUUUGUUUCAACUACAUGCGUGAACAUGUGCCAUAUCGAGUCACUCAAAUCAUUCGAAGGAGGAUAUCAUCCCAUCAUACCACAUCAUAAUCAUUCUAAUAGCAUGUUGGCACGCAAGGUAAAUCAUUAUAACUCAUAGCUAAUCAAGCAUUGCACAAGAAACUAUAAUCUCUAAAUGUCAUUGCAAAUAUGUUUACUUCAUAAUAAGCUGAAUCAGAAACGAUGAACUCAUCAUAUUUACAAAAACAAGAGAGGUCGAGUUUAUACCAGCUUUUCUCAUCUAAAUAAGUCCAUCAUAUAUCGUCAUUAUUGCCUUUCACUUGCACAAGCGAAUGAUGUGUAUAAUAAUAAUAGUGCAUAUGCAUUGGACUAAGCUGGAAUCUGCAAGCAUUCAACUCAAGAGAGAACACAGGUAAUAUGGGCUCUAAGUUAAAUAAACAAUCAUGCAUAUGAGAGCCACUAAACAUUUUCAAUAUGGUCCUCUCGACCCCCAAAGGAAAGAAAAGAAAAGAAAACUAUUUACACGGGAAAGCUCCCAACAAGUAAGAAGAAGAACUAGAAAUCUUUUUGGGUUUUCGUUUUAAUUCUACUACAAGCAUGGAAAUUAAACUAACUAAUUUGUUUUGGUUUUUCUUAAGGUUUAUCAAACACACAAGAAGAAAGUGAAAAAGAAAAUGAAACUAGCAUGGAUAAUACAAUGAAAGAUUAUGAGCACCACGACUAGUGUGCGAACAUGAAUGUACAGUCGGUGAGAAAUACGUACUCCCCAAGCUUAGGCUUUUGGCCUAAGUUGGUAUAAUACCAAGGACCGCUGCUACUCUCCCCGGUGUACUGGGAGGUGUACUCAGGAUACCACUGGCUGGCCAUCUCUGGAUCCCACUGGAAAGAUGAUGCACGAUAAGGGUCUAGUGCAGGUUCCGGCUCAGGUUCAGGUUCUGGAGUGGAUGCUUGGGCUCGAUGAGCAUACACUGCCUCUGGUGUAACCAGAAAAUUAUCUGCAAUCGAAUCAAACAACAGAGGCGCAGACAAAAUAAUAGUCUCAUUGUGUUUCUUAUUAAAUCGAAGGUUAUACAAGAGCAUCUUCUCUUUGUUGUCAACAAUAAAUGCAUGUGCUACCAUGCUCUUGUAAUCUAAAUUGUGAGGAGGAAAUUUUUUUCUCCUCUUUCUCAUGGUGCCUAAUAGGUAUCCGAAAAUGUCUAGCAAGACGUGAAGAAUAGAUACCUCCAAAUAUGGGGCCUUUUGUAUGAUUCAGGCCUAGCCGUUUAGCAAUGACGGCACCCAUACUAAAACUAUUAUCUCCAAGCAAGGCAUGUUGAAGAAUGAUAAUAUCAGGAACACUAAAGUUUCCACUAUUUCCACGACCAAUCAAGCAUCUACUAGCAAAUAUGGCAAAGUAGCGUAAAACAGGAAAGUGUAUGCUAGAGAUUUUUGCCUCGGAGCCCUUCUUUGGCUCCUCUACAGCAAUAGUGUUAACAAAGCCAUCCACAUCUUUACGAUGGGGUUCCUCUAAUUCUCCCUCAUAGGGUAUCCUACACACCGCGCAAAAAUUACGUAAAGACAUUGCUCUGAAUUCAUCAUAUAAAUGAAAUGAUACUGAAGGCGGUGACUUCUUAGGAUAAUAAUAAAACUUUGCCCGAAAGUAUUGGUGAGUAAGAGAUACUGAUCGAUUCGGUCGUGGAGGAAACCGGUGAGGCCUGCAUUCUCGAUCAAAGAAUAAAAAUCUUCAAUAAUUCCAGCUUCUUUCAAGAAAUCAUCGCAUGGCCAUUCACACGGCCGUACUUCCGCUAAGCGAGGAAGAUUAUACUUGGCUUGUUCCUUCUCUUUCGCUUGUUUUUCCUGAGAGCCUUGGCUAGAAGAGCCCCUCAAAAGUUUCCUUAACAUUUUCUGAAAAUUUCUGAAAUUUUAGUAACUUCAAAAUAAAAGUGAAUAAAACUAAACAAGAUUGGUAGCAACUACUCCUACAAGUGCCUAGAGCCUAUAUCAUGCAUUAGAAUUGUUUGGGACCUCAUAAAUUCAACAUGCAAGCUCAAGAACAUGGUCACCUAUGCAGCAAAAAUUUGCAAUGAAUAAAGCACUAGAACAAAAACUAAUUGGACCAAUGGAGGAGUCACAUACCAAGCAACAAUCUCCCAAAGCAGUUUUGUGAAUGAAGCUUUGAGCAAGGAGAUCGAAAAUUGCAGCAAAAUGAGCUAGAACUCGUGCUUGAGCUGGAUGGGGAUUUUUUUGGGUAGAAGAUGGAGUGUGGGGGUGCUGGCAGAAGUGGAGGGGGGCCACCAAGGGCCCACGAGACAGGGGGGCGCGCCCAGGUGAGGUAGGCACGCCCUCCACUCUCGUGGCCUGGUGCUUGCCCCUCCUGUAGUGAUUUCAGUGCCUAAAAUCCUCAAAUAUUCCUUAAAAAAUUAUACUAAAUUUGCAGGGCAUUUGGAGCACUUUUAUUUUCGGGAUAUUUUUUUAUGCACGGAUAAUUCAAAAAACAGAGGCAUAACACUAUUUUUGCUUUAUUUAUUCUAAAUAACAGAAAGUAAAAAGAGGCUACAGAAGGUUGUGCCUUCUAGUUUCAUCCAUCUCAUGAUCAUCAAAAUGAAUCCACUAACAAGGUUGAUCAAGUCUUGUUAACAAACUCAUUCCGAAUAACACGGCCGGAACCGAAGAAAUUUCGAAUAACACUAAGUUACCUCGAUGGGGAUAUGAACAUCCCCAACAAUAAGAAUAUCAUACUUUUUCUUGACAGUAGGAAGAGGAAAUUCAAAACCUCCAAUAAUGAUAGUUGGAACUUUUCCAAUACAAUUGAUGCUAUGAACUUGAGAUUGUUUCCUCGGAAAGUGUACCGUAUGCUCAUUUUCAUUAACAUGAAAAGUGAUAUUGCCUUUGUUACAAUCAAUAACAGCCCCUAUAGUAUUCAAAAAAGGUCUACCAAGGUUAAUCGAUAUACUAUCAUCCUCGGGAAUAUCAAGAAUAACAAAGUCCGUUAAGAUAGUGACAUUUGCAACCACAACAUGCACAUCCUCAGAAAUACCGACAGGUAUAGCAGUUGAUUUAUCGGCCAUUUGCAAAGAUAUUUCAGUAGGUGUCAACUUAUUCAAUUCAAGUCUACGAUAUAAAAUGAGAGGCAUAACACUAACACCGGCUCCAAGAUCACAUAAAGCAGUUCUAACAUAAUUUCUUUUAAUGGAGCAUGGUAUAGUUGGUACCCCCGGAUCUCCAAGUUUCUUUGGUAUUCCACCCUUAAAAGUAUAAUUAGCAAGCAUGGUGAAAAUUUCAGCUUUCGGGACCUUUCUUUUGUUUGUAAUGAUAUCCUUCAUAUACUUAGCAUAAGGAUUUACUCUAAGCAUAUCAGUUAAGCGCGUACGUAAAAAGAUAGGUCUAAUCAUUUCAGCAAAGCGCUCAAAAUCCUCAUCAUCCUUUGUCUUGGAUGGUUUAGGAGGAAAGAGCAUGGGUUUCUGAACCCAUGGUUCUCUUUCUCUACCAUGCUUCCUAGAAACAAAAUCUCCCUUAUCAUAACGUUGAUUCUUUGAUUGUGGGUUAUCAAGAUCAACAGCAGGUUCGAUCUCUACAUCAUUGUUUUUGCUAGGUUGAGCAUCAACAUGAACAUUAUCAUUGACAUUAUCACUAGGUUCAUGUUCAUCACCUGAUUGUGUUUCAGCAUCAGAAAUAGAAAUAUCAUUGGGAUUCUCAGGUGUGUCUACAACAGGUUCACUAGAAGCAUGCAAAGUUCUAUCGUUUUUCUUUUUUUUUGUAAGAACUAGGUGCCUCUAAAUUGUUUCUCUGAGAAUCUUGCUCGAUUCUCUUAGGGUGUCCUUCAGGAUACAAAGGUUCCUGAGUCAUUCUACCAGUUCUAGUAGCCACUCUAACAGCAAAGUCAUUUUUAUUAUUUAAUUCAUCAAGCAAAUCAUUUUGAGCUUUCAGUACUUCCUCGGCUUGAGUAGCAACCAUAGAAGCAUAUUUGCUAAUGAGUUAAGUUCACCUUUAACUCUAGCCAUAUUAUCGCUCAUGCGUCCUAUCUCGAAAGCAUUAUUCUUUAACUCUCUACCAACAUAAGCAUUAAAACUUUCUUGUCUAGCCAUGAAGUCAUCAAAUUCAUCUAACCAUGGGCUAUGAAAUUUAGUAGAGGGGAUUUCAACUUUAUCAUAUCUAUAGAGAGAAUUUACCUUUACUACCUGUGUCGGGUUAUCAAGACAUGUGGUUCUUCAACAGGCGGUAUAUUAAGACCAUGUAUUUCUUCAAUAGGUGGUAAAUUCUUAACAUCUUCAGCUUUAAUACAUUUUUCUUUCGUUGAUUUCUUUGCCUCUUGCAUAUCUUCGGGACUGAGAAAUAGAACACCUCUCUUCUUCGGAGUGGGUUUAGGAAUAGGCUCAGGAGUUGGCUCAAUUGGUUUAGGAAUUGCCUCAGGAGUUGGCUCAGGAAGAGUCCAAUUAUUUUCAUUAGUUGACAUAUUAUUCAAUAGUAAUUCAGCUUCGUCGACUGUUCUUUCCCUGAAAACACAACUAGCACAACUAUCCAAGUAGUCCUUGGAAGCAUCGGUUAGUCCAUUAUAAAUGAUAUCAAGUAUUUCAUUUUUCUUAAGAGGAUGAUCAGGCAAAGCAUUAAGUAAUCGGAGAAGCCUUCCCCAAGCUUGUGGGAGACUCUCUUCUUUGAUUUGCACAAAAUUAUAUAUUUCCUGCAAGGCAGCUUGUUUCUUAUGAGCAGGAAAAUAUUUAGCAGAGAAGUAAUAAAUCAUAUCCUGGGGACUACGCACGCAACCAGUAGCAAGAGAAUUGUACCAAGUCUUAGCAUCACCUUUUAACGAGAACGGGAAUAUCUUAAGGAUAUAAUAAUAGCGAGAUUUAUCAUCAUGAGUAAACAGGGUAGCUAUAUCAUUCAACUUGGUAAGAUGUGCCACAAAAAUUUCAGAUUCAAGGCCAUAAAAAGGAUCAGAUUCAACUAAAGUAAUAAUUUUAGGAUCAACAGAGAAUUCAUAAUCCUUAUCAGUAACACAGAUAGGUGAAGUAGCAAAAGCAAGGUCAGGUUUCAUUCUAGCAUUAAGAGACUGCUGCUUCCAUUUAGCUAAUAUUUUCUUAAGAUCAUAUCUAUCAUUGCAAGCAAAGAUAGCUCUAGCAGCUUCUUCAUUCAUAACAUAACCCUCAGGAACAACAGGCAAUUCAUAAUCAUUAGGAGAAUUUUCAUCAUCACUAUCAUCAAUAAUAGCAUCUUCAAUAAUUUCAUUCCCCCUAACUCUAGCAAGUUGUUCAUCAAAAAAUUCACCUAAUGGCAAAGUAGUAUCACGCACAAAAGUAGUUUCAUCAUAAGUAUCAUGCAAAGCAGAAGUGGCAUCAUCAAUAACAUGCAUCAUAUCAGAAUUCAUAGCAGUAACAGGUUUAGGUGUCGCAAGCUUACUCAAAACAGAAGGAAAAUCUAGUGCAGAGCUAGAUGGCAGUUCCUUACCUCCCCUCAUAGUUGAGGGAAAAAUCAUAGUUCUGUCGUCUUUCAAGUUCCUCAUAGUGAUCAACAGAUAUAAAUACCAGGUGACUCAAAGAACAGAGCUAUGCUCCCCGGCAACGGCGCCAGAAAUUAGUCUUGAUAACCCACAAGUGUAUGGGAUCGCAACAGCUUUCGAGGGUAAAGUAUUCAACCCAAAUUUAUUGAUUCGGCACAAGGGAAGCCAAAGAAUAUUCUUGAGUAUUAGCAGUUGAGUUGUCAAUUCAACCACACCUGGAUAACUUAGUAUCUGCAACAAAGUAUUUAGUAGCAAAGUAGUAUGAUAAUAAAGGUAACAGUAGCAAAAGUAAUGUUUUUGGGUUUUGUAGUGAUUGUAACAAUAGCAACGGAAAAGUAAAUAAGCGAAGAACAAUAUGUGAAAAGCUCGUAGGCAAUGGAUCAGUGAUGGAUAAUUAUGUCGGAUCUGAUUCCUCAUGUAAUAGCUAUAACAUAGGGUGACACAGAACUAGCUCCAGUUCAUCAAUGUAAUGUAGGCAUGUAUUCCGUAUAUAGUCAUAUGUGCUUAUGGAAAAGAACUUGCAUGACAUCUUUUGUCCUACCCUCCCGUGGCAGCGGGGUCCUAGCAGAAACUAAGGGAUAUUAAGGCCUCCUUUUAAUAGAGAACCGAAACAAAGCAUUAGCACAUAGUGAAUACAUGAACUCCUCAAACUAUGGUCACCACUGAGAAGUAUCCCGAUUAUUGUCACUUCGGGGUUUUCGGAUCAUAACACAUAAUAGGUGACUAUAGACUUGCAAGAUAGGAUCAAGAACACACAUAUAUUCAUGAAACAUAAUAGGUUCAGAUCUGCAAUCAUGGCACUCGGGCCCUAGUGACAAGCAUUAAGCAUAGCAAAGCCAUAGCAACAUCAAUCUCAGAACAUAGUGGAUACCAGGGAUCAAACCCUAACGAAACUAACUUGAUUACAUGGUAAAUCUCAUCCAACCCAUCAUCGUCCAGCAAGUCUACGGUGGAAUUACUCACGCACGGCGGUGAGCAUCAUGAAAUUGGUGAUGGAGGAUGGUUGAUGAUGACGACGGCGACGAAUCCCCCUCUCCUGAGCCCCGAACGGACUCCAGAUCAGCCCUCCCGAGAGAGAUUAGGGCUUGGCGAUGGCUCCGUAUCGUAAAAUGCGAUGAAACUUUUCUCUGAUUUUUUUCUCCGCGAGACAGAAUAUAUGGAGUUGGAGUUGAGGUCGGCGGAGCCUCAGGGGGCCCACGUACAGGGGGCGCGCCCAGGUGGAGGGCGUGCCCCCAACCCUCGUGGACAGGGUGUGGCCCCCUAGUCUUGAUUAUUUUGCCAGUAUUUUUUAUAUUUUCCAAAAAGUGCCUCCGUGGAUUUGCAGGACAUUCCGAGGACUUUUGCUUUCUACACAUAAAACAACAUCAUGGCAGUUUUGCUGAAAACAGCGUCAGUCCGGGUUAGUUUCAUUCAAAUCAUGCAAGUUAGAGUCUAAAACAAGGGCAAAAGUGUUUGGAAAAGUAGAUACGUUGGAGACGUGUCAGUUCCCGCGCAAGCUUACAGCCCGACCCGAUGAAAUCCUGCUCAGCACAUUUUUCCUUGGCUUACUAGGGAAUCUGUCAGUGUACAUACGGGUGUUCUAUCUAAAAUGUUUGCGACGUUAGAGUGGCAGCUAGUUGUUUUAAAAUGCCUUUGUUGAGAGUGCAGCUAAUCUGCACCCACGCUUAGAAAAAAAUUCAAAAAAAUCCAAAGUUUUUUGUGGUGGUAGAUAAUUUGAUGCGUGAGGUGCGCCCCAAAAUUCAACUCAUUUGAGCAUUUGAGCAGCUCUCGACAAAAAAGACAAAAUCAGGGUCUGUAAAAAUGUUUACUGUUCACGCACUGUUUUGACCCGAUUAUUUUUUUUUGCCGAGAGCUGCUCAGAUGUCCAAAUAAGUUGAAUUUUGGGGCGCUCCUCAGGCAUCACAUUAUCUACCACCACAAAAAAAUUGGAAUUUUUUGAAUUUUUCUAGUAUUUGUUUUGAAUUUUUUGCUGAGAGGAAGCAGAUGAGACGGGCACCGUUUUGAGUUUUCGCUUUGUUGACUGUUAUUCGAGUGCGCCUUCUCUCAAAAUGGACACGAGAGUUACCACAUCAUGUCGGGUGCUGAUGUUUGCUAGAACUACGUCGGUAUUUCCCCAAAGAGGAAGGGAUGAUGCAGUAUAGCGACGAUAGGUAUUUCCCUCAGUGAUGAGACCAAGGUUAACCAGUAGGAGAACCUCCUCACACCACGUAAACAACACCUGCACACAAAUAAUAAAUACUCGCAACCUGAUGUGUUAAAGGGGUUGUCAUCCCUUUCGGGUACGACGCCUCAAGAUAGGCAAAUAACGUGAGAUAAAAGUUGUAGAUUGGAUAAAUAGAUCGCGGAACAAAUAAAUUGCAGCAAGGUAAUUUUUCUAUUUUUGGUUUAAUAGAUAUGAAAAUAAAUGAAAGGGAAAAUAGAUAGCAAAGGACAAUAUGACGAAAAGAGAUCCGGGGGCCAUAGGUUUCACUAGUGGCUUCUCUCGAAAAAAAUAGCAAACGGUGGGAAAACAAUUACUGUUGGGCAAUUGAUAGAACUUCAAAUAUUCAUGACGAUAUCCAGGCAAUGAUCAUUAUAUAGGCAUCAUGUCGAAGAUUAGUAGACCGACUUCAGCCUGCAUCUACUACUAUUACUCCACACAUCAACUGGUAUCCAGCAUGCAUCUACUGUAUUAAGUUAAUGGAAAAACAGAGUAAUGCAAUAAGAACGAUGACAUGAUGUAGACGAGAUCUGUUUAUCUAUUGCGGAGAUAUAGAUUUGAUCUUGUUAUCCUUAGUAGCAACGAUACGUACGUGUCGGUUCCCCUUCUGUCACUGGGAUCAAGCACCGUAAGAGCGAACCCACUACAAAGCACCUCUUCCCAUUGUAAGAUAAAUAGAUCAAGUUGGCCAAACAAAACCCAAAUAUCAGAGAAGAAAUACGAGGCUAUAAGCAAUCAUGCAUAUAAGAGAUCAAAGAAGACUCAAAUAACUUUCAUUGAUAAAAACAUAGAUCUUAUCAUAAACUCAAAGUUCAUCGGAUCCCAACAAACACACCGCAAAAAGACUUACAUCAUAUGGUUGGAGACCAUUCUAUUGAUAAUCAAGAGAGAGAGGAUGCCAUCUAGCUACUAACAACAGAUCCGUAGGUCUACAAAGAACUACUCACGCAACAUAGGAGAGGCACCAAUGGAAGUGGGGAACCCCUCCAUGACGGUGUCUAGAUUGGAUCUGGUGGUUCUGGACUCUGCGGCAGCUAGAUCAAUAUUUCGUCGACUCCCCUAGGGUUUCUGGAAUAUUGUGGUAUUUGUAGAGCAAAGUGGCGGUUCGGGGGACACUCGAGGUGGGCAGCACCCACCUGGCACGCUUGGGCCUCCUAGCGCGCCCUAGUGGGUGCUUCUUCCCUCGAGCAGCCCUCGAGGUACUUCCUUGGCCCACUGGCUUUCUUCUGGCAAAAAAAACCUCCAGGAGUUUCGUUGCAUUUGUCGUUUGAUAUUGAUUUCCUGCGAUGUAAAAAACAUGCAGAAAACAACAACUGGCACUGGGCACUAUGUCAAUAGGUUAGUACCAAAAAACCAUCCUUACAGCCAGCACAUGGACAAGACAUAAAAUCAUCUGCCCGCUUGUUUGCCUCAGCCGCAAGCAGAAAAGUACGUACGCCAUUAACGAACUAGGGAGAGCAUCGGUCAUCGUGCAUCCAUUACCGGCUCAUCUUCAUUACACAGCACCGAAAAGACCAAAUUAAUACAAGUUCAUACAUAAAGGUCCAUGCACACUUAUUCUCAUAAAACAACAUACAAACACUCUAGCUAAAGCAUUUAAAUGCAACAACAAAUGAGAUCAACAUGGCAACUAAGGUAACAAUUGAUCCAACAGCAUAAUAUUACCAAGCCUCACUAUCAAUGGCAUAUUUUCUAAUCUUUCUAAUCUUCAAGCGCAUUUUCUCCAUCUUGAUCUUGUGAUCAUCGACGACAUCGGCAAGAUGCAACUCCAAUUCCAUCUUCUCGUCCUCAAUUCUUUUCAAUUUUUCUUUCAAAUACUCAUUUUCAUUUUGAACUAAAUUUAACCUCUCAAGAAUAGGGUCGGUUGGAAUUUCCGGUCAGCAUACCUCCUAGAUAAAAAUAUCUAUGUCAACUUGAUGGGCAUAAUUUUCAUAAACAUGAAGUGCAGCAAAUAGUUAUAAAAUAGAAUAUACCACAUCCGUAUCAUAAACCGGACGAGGGCCGACGGGGACGGAUAUCAAAACCAUGACACUAUGUAUAACAAACAACGUACGGGUAUGAUAAUUAUACAAGUAACUAUAUAUCUAAAUCUCACAAAUAACAUGAUUUUUUAUAUAAAAAAGAUAAGAACAAGAGGUUCACCACAAGGUGGUGCCGGCGUCAUGACGGUGCGGGCGAUUGACGAUGGUUAGGAAGGAGACAGGAAGGCACUAAGUAAACCACACCUACAUAUGCAAACUAAGGGUUAUUUUGAGCACAAGUUGCAUAUAAAUCAAAUAAACUACCACAUAUAAUUCCUCCCAAAAUACUAAAACCCAUAAGUUAAUCAUUAUAUAGAGCAUUGCAAGAGCUAAUAUAGCAAUGAGAGAUUAAAGGACAAAGUUGCUAACCUUUGUGAUCACUUGAAUGCAUGGGGACGUUCAAAUCUUGAAAAAAAUUGGGCCAAAUGUGUGAUGAGCUCGAGAAAGAGGGGAAGAACAAAGAGGAGAGGAAAGGAAAGGGGAAGAAUAGAGAGCUGGGACUGGACGAAGGGGUUUAUAUAGAGGCAUCUUUAGUCCCGGUUGGUUAUACAAGCCGGGACUAAAGGUACAUCUCUAGUCCCGGUUCGUUCCACGAACCAAGACUAAAGGUGUUUGUGGGGCCGCAGCCUGACACAAGCCUGCCACCACCUCUUUAGUACCGGUUCGUGGCAUGAACCGGUACUAGAGGUUCGCCACGAAUCGGGACUAAUGACCACCGCCCGCUUAGCCGUUGGAACCGGCACUAAUGGUCACAUUAGUGCCGGGACUAAUGAGCUUCACAUUAGACCCUUUUUCUACUAGUGAAAUAGUACAUUAGCUACCAAAAUAUAUGAUAGGGCAUAUCAUGGAGAAUAUCUUAGCUUUUGAAUGCCACUUUCUAUCAAUGAUUUAAACAUAUCAGGAAAACUAAAAAACACUAAUCUACCAAAUCAGAAACAAAGUCAGGCAGGCACACCAUCUGGACAAAUAGUUGAGGAUGUAUACGUGCAUGCCGACCAUUUGUACCUAGAGUACAAACUUUUAUACACACUUAUGUAUGACCGAGGCCGAGGGGAUUGUGGUGAGGCACCGACCCUGCCGUGCGGACCACGCAUCGGGCCAAGCCGGGUUAGCUGGCAACGCCCGGCGACGGGCGCCUGCCCUCGCCCCACCCUCGCCCUCCCCAUAUAAAGUUGGGUUCCUCCUUGGGAGAGAACCCGAAGGUGACUCCCCGACCUCGCCGCACAUCACCCAUUGUUAACCUCCUCCUCCCUCCUGCAUUUCACCGUCACCAUCGUCUUCCUCCUCCCUCCUCUCCCCUUCUAACAGUUCACUCCAUAGCAGGAACGCCGUGCUCGUCUCCUUCCGCUCCUCACUACAGAUCCGAGGAGCAGUUCGCCGGGCAGGUCACCGGACCAGGUUCCUCCCUCUCCCUCCCCCUCUCCCUCGACUCCUCCCCUCUUAUCUUCUGUCUCUGAUUCGUCCUGCUCUUACCACGCGGAUCUAGCACAGGUUGGUUCGGAUCGCACCAAAGGACAAGAUGGAGUGAACAUUAUUGACCGUUUGCGAUUUGUACUAAAUUUUUAUAGUUAUUCAAGACUUACUUAUUAUGAAGUCAUAAUCAUAGUUAAAACAUUUUAUAUAAUUUAUAAUUUGAUGAUAAUUUUGCAAAACAUAUUACAUCAUUAUUUGUUGUAGCUGUAAUAUUCUUUGUUGAAAACGUGUGUCCAUUUUAAAUUGUGUCUAUGAUUACACUUUUUUAUUUUCUUUACAUUCUUGGCCUUAACAAGAUAAUUGAAAAUAAGGAAAAUAGAAUUGCAUGCGUUAGCAAAAUAAUUUGUGAUACUUACAUUAAUAUGGUGUGUAUAUAAAUGUGUGUGCAACAGUAAAGUGUAUGAUCUCGGAAAUGUCUUGACAAUGGUUUCUAGUAUAUACGUAGAUAGAAAAUGCCUAGUGUGUAUAAACUAUUUAGGAGGAGCUUAUCACCUAGAGUGUAUAAACUAUCUAGGAUGAUCUUAUCAGUGAAUCAAUCAAUGGCUGUUGAUUUGUCAUUGUUUUGUCAAAUGUGUCUCACAUAUUACAACGGGUUCAAUAUUCCAUUUUUUAAAAGCAUGUGCUCUAUAUUUGUUACUGAAAUACAAACAAUCUAACAACGAUCACGUUUUGUACGACAGAUAUUGUGUUCAUAGGAAAGAGACUACAACGAGGACCCUCUCGAUGACAAAUUUGAUGUUUUUCUUCAUUGCCUCCACCUUGAUAGACACCGUCAUCCUAGUACUAGCUACCGCUGCCUUGUUUUUUGAGUAAAAUGCACUGGAGGACAUUGAACUUAGCAUAUGCGCACACGAAGAGUGCAUUUUACUCUUGGUUUUUCUAGCGACCACUAGGUUGAUAGUCGCCACCACCUGCUGAAUAGGCGCCAUUACCGCUGGUGCUGCGGCUGUUAGAUCUGCCUCUAUUCCAGUGAGGUCCGAUGUUGUAUCCUCGCCCUCUUUUCUUUCUAUAUUGGCUGAGUAUCCCCGGUUUUGGGUGUCAAUACAUCCCUCUGCCGAGAGAAGCUGUCAUACAGGUCGCCGAUAGUGAGAGGUGCCUGAUCACCACGACCAGAUAUGGUGGAGCGGGCGCCGACGAAUGGAUUGUAGCCAUUGUCCAUUCCAGCAAGGAUCUAAGAUCAAAUCAUCAUCGUCUAACUUCUUUCCCAUUGCAGCCAUCUCGUCCGUGAUCCCCUUCACGAAGUUAUAUGAUCUGGCACUGACCGUAUAAUCACCUUAAUAUGUAUAUAGUGAUCAUAUUCUUAAGUACAGUGACCAAAGUGAGCGUACGCGACAAGUUUAAUGACCAACAGUGCAUUUUACUCUUGUUUUUUUCUAGCGACCACUAGAUUGAUAGUCGCCACCACCUGCAGAAUAGGCGCCAUUACUGCUGGUGCUGCGGCUGUCAGAUGUUGUAUCCUCGCUCUCUUUUCUUGCUAUAUUGGCUGAGUAUCCCCGGUUUUGGGCGUCAAUACAUCCCUCUGCCGAGAGAAGCUGUCAUACAUGUCCUCGAGAGUGAGAGGUGGCUGAUCACCACGACCAGAAAUGGUGGAGCUGGCGCUGACGAAUGGAUUGUAGCCAUUGUCCAUUCCAGCAAGGAUCUAAGAUGGAAUCAUCAUCGUCUAACUUCUUUCCCAUGAGAACGGAUUUUUAGAACCCGGGUGCCUAGGCACCCCAUUAUCUCACCGUUGGUCCAAAAAGUAGCUCGUGGGGAUAUGUGCCAUAGAACUGUAGCGAUAAAACUAUUAGCAGGCUUGCUAAUCGCUAAACGAGCCUAGAACGACACUGUGCCUGUAGGUGUGAUUCCCCUAGCAAAGGAGACGUGGACUUGACAUGUCGGUCCAUGUUAAAUAAAAAAUAGAGAAAGGCUGACGAGGCCACUCCAUCUACAGUACCACGGUUCACAUCUGUGCGACGUACAUAUUGCGGUGAGCAGACGAGCAGCAGGAGAUUGCACGGCCGGCUCUGCCAGAUUCCUUUUCUGGACUAGUUUCGUUUCUUGGCGUUCAAACGUGAUGACAGGCCAGCUUACCUUUUUCUCCCUAAAGAACGAUUCCUGCAAAUAAUAACGGGCCUAGACGCUGCUGAACACCAUAUUGCGUAUGGUAAAGGACUACACUGGCCCAAGGUAUAUACUACAUUCAUGAGAGAGGUUUUACGAUGCGAUUUUAUGCUUCUAAAAGCACACUUAAUCAAAGUUUUUUUACAUGCUUUUUAUCGUGUUUUCAGUGAACCUGGAAUUUCAUUCGGAUUUAUCAAGAACCAUAAUACAAGGGUGGGUCCCACGCGCAGAAAAUGCAACCUGAUCCAGUGCAUUGUCCAUCACACUACGACAUCUAGAACUACUGAUUAAAACUAGGAUGUUACCAUAAUAGGCCCAUGCGAUGAGCAGGCGGCCUAUCCGUCGCCGCAGAUGAAGAAGACAACGAAGCCUCCUCUUGCAAGUGGAUAGCAAUUCCAGGUUGCGUGUUCCCCAUUCUCACGCUGAUCCACCCUCGCCUUCGCGCAUUGAAGGAAGCCUAAUUAUUUUUGAAUCAGGAAUAUUAGUUAUUAUUGAUGAAAAAACAUAUAGCAUUUUUGUGUAAGAAAUACUCUAAGUGCCCAAGUCCCUCGUAAAUGAAGGAUCUUGGUCAUAUGGUCUGCCUUUGCAAAAUCAUACACGGGCAUUUUCAACACUAACCCUUAAAAUAGUUAUUGUAUUUGUCCGCGGAUUGGUUCAGAUCUGUAUGUGGGCACAAAUAUGGGAGAUGGCUAUCUAACCCUAUCUGCAUCGACGGUAUCGGUUGCACUCGUUUUCUUAGAGCAUCUACAGCCGGGCUCCUCAUAUUGACCGGGCGGGCGUAGGGACCACUGACCGGACAGGAGGGAAAAUGAAAAAGUUGACAAAAAUCGGACCCCUCAAAGCCUCCUUAAAUGCCUGGGCUGCCCGGUAGCUCUCAUAUUUAUCGCAUACUUCCUCCGUUUUUAAAUAUAAGUCUUUUUAGAGAUUUCAAUAUGAACUAUAUGCGGAUGUGUGUAGAUGUAUUUUAGAGUGUAGUUUCACUCAUUUUGCUUUGAAUGUAGUCUGUAGUGAAAUCUCUAAAAGGACUUAUAUUUAGGAACAGAGGGAAUAUAUGAGAUGAGUAUGAGGAAUGCCCGGCAUGUCCGGUCAGUGGUCAUGCGUCCGCACAUUUGAUCGGGCCCACCAUGACGAGGGUGCAUAACCGAGCCCAAUAGGAAGCCCGUGACACUAACCCUAACAUGCUCUCUCUCUCUCUCUCUCACUCUCUCUCUUUCUCUCUCUCUCUCUUUUUGUUCGACCGCACCGGCACGAGGACACACACAUGAGAUCGACUCACAGGAGCUCGCGUCGCAGCCAUCUAGAGUGGUUCGCAGGAGGUCACGCAGCUACCGUCUAGAGUGGCUCGCGGGAGCUUGCGCCGCCGCCGUCUAGAGUGGCCCGCAGGAGGUCACGCCUCCGCCGCCUAGAGUGGCUCGCAUGAGUUCACGCCGCCGCUGUCUAGAGUCGCUCGUAGGAGUUCGCACCUUAUCGUCUAGUCUCUCUUAGUGGAAGACGAAUCUAUUAUAUCAGAUAGUCUUAUUCAUCCCAUGUGAUUAUAUGUUUUUUUAUGGUGCUAACCAAAUAAACUCGCUCAUAUUGCACUCAUGUUCCGGGUUACAACGGUCGUUCUUGUUCCAUGAACAUCAUGCCUUACCAGAUGUUCUAGGUACAACUACCGUUCUUGUUCCACGAACAAAAUGCCUAACCAGAUGUUCUGGGUAGAACUACCGUUCUUGUUCCACGAACAACAUGUCUGACGAGGUAUUCAAGGUACAACUGCCAUUCUUGUUCAAUGAACAACAUGCCUAACCAGAUAUUCCAGGUAUAAUUGUAAUUCUUGUUCCACGAACAACAUGCGUGACUAGAUGUUCCAGGUACAACUGUUGUUCUUUUUCCACUAACAACACACAUAACCAGAUGUUCCAGGUACAACUAUCGUUCUUGUUCCACAAACAAGACACCUGAACAAAUGUUCCAAGUACAACUAUCAUUCUGGUCCCAUGAAUAACACGCCUAACCAGAUGAACAAGAACGAAAGUUGUACCUGGAACAAUCGGUCACGCCGCCGCCGUCUAGAAUGGCUCGCGGGAGGUCACACCGCCGCCGUCUAGAGUGGCUCGUAGGAGUUCGUCCAUGUGAUUAUGCUCUUUUAUGGUGUUAACCAAAUAAACUCGCUCAUAUUGCACUCAUGUUCCAGGUACAACGGUCGUGCUUGUUCCAUGAACACCAUGCCUUAUCGGAUGUUCCAGGUACAACUACCGUUCUUGUUCCACGAACAACAUGUCUGACCUGAUGUUCCAGGUACAACUACCGUUCUUGUUCCACGAACAACAUGCCUGACGAGAUGUUCUAGGUACAACUACCAUUCUUGUUCAAUGAACAACAUGCCUGACCAGAUGUUCCAGGUAUAACUGUAAUUCUUGUUCCACGAACAACAUGCCUCACUAGAUGUUCCAGGUACAACGGUUGUUCUUUUUCCACGAACAACACACCUGACCAGAUGUUCCAGGUACAACUAUCGAUUUUGUUUGACAAACAAGACGCCUAAACAGAUGUUCCAAGUACAACUAUCGUUCUGGUUCCAUGCAUAACACGCCUGACAAGAUGUUCUAGGUACAACUGGCAUUCUUGUUCCAUGAACAACAUGCCUGGCCAGUUGUUCCAUGUACAACUAUUGUUGUUGUUGUUUUUCGGACGUAGUUCGCCAUCCAAUGCAGUAUCCUAUUUUUCUGCGGACAUGUUUGGCUGUCCGAAAUCCCGUAAAGCAAACACAAAAUGGGGCUUCACGGGAGUCCGGACCGCCGCCACAUAGGUCUCCGACACCCACGGCCCAUCCAAAUCCUCCUUCCGGAUCACUUUGUUGUCACUCCGUCCCCUGCUCCCCCUUACUCUCCAUCCGAACCCUGCUCGUCCACCACCGAUGACCUCUCCCCCCGUGCCGACCAGGCAUUACCGGACGACGAAGCCCCCCUCCCCCACCCACACGGUUGACCGUCGUGGAUUACUUUGUCGUCCACCCAGGAUCUAUCCAUAGGUAGGUACCCUCUGCACCCAUGUCAAUGUCGUCCAUUGCAGACAUCACGCUUGACAAUUGUUUGGUCAAUUGCUAUUGAGCCUUUUUUACCUUCUUGUUUUCUGAAGUAAAGUAUGAUGGUUGGGUACUUGGUGAUGGUGGAUGAGUUGUGGUGCGAUGCGUGAAAUGUUGUAUAUGACCUCUUUGUAGACAUGAGCCAAGUGGGCUUAAAGACACUAGCAAAACGUGCAUGUUUUGUUUUAUGAGAAGAAGCACUUCCCGCCCUAUGAUUCGCAUAUGAUCUGUGAUCACGAUGUUGAAGUCGCUAGGCCAUCGGAGUUACACCAUAUCCAACUCAGUUAUGAAGUUUUGCAUGCGAUUGCACGAUGAGAGGCAAUGUGUCUUGUUGGUGCUCUACGUGUUGGUCAAUGCAUCGAUUCACUCAAUGUUAUGACUUGGUAAUCAUCAAAUUCCAUAGUCGAGACGUGAUGCCUCUCGUGCCACAGGACAAUAGGAAACCCAUGCCACUAACCCAACAUGCACUAUCUCUCUUUCUUUGUCUGGCCGCGUCAACAUGAGGAAGCAGACAUUAGAUCGACUCGCAGGAGCUCACAUGCGCCGCCGUCUGGAGUGGCUUGCAGGAGUUCGCGCCUUGUCAUCUAGUCUCUAUUAGUGGUGGAUGAAUCCAUUAUAUCAGAUAGUCUUAUUCAACUUACGUGAUUAUAUUUUUUUAUGGUGUUAAACAACUGAAUUCGCUCAUAUUGCACUCAUGUUUCAUGUACUACUGUCGUUCUUUUUCCACGAACAACAUGACUUACCAGAUGUUCCUGGUACAACUACCAUUCUUGUUUCACGAACAACAUGCCUCACCAGAUGUUCCAUGAACAACAUGCCUAACCAGAUGUUCUAGGUAUAAGUACCAUUCUCGUCCCAUGAAGAACAUGCCCAGCCAAACAUUCUAGGUAUAACAUGCUUGACCAGAUGUUCCGGGUACAAAUUUCGUCCUUGUUCCGUGAACACCAUGUUUGACCAAAUAUUCCAGGUACAACUGCCGUUCUUGUUCCUGGAACAAGAUGUUUAACCAGAUUUUUCAGGUAUAACCGCCGUUCCUAUUCAUUGAACAAGAUGCCUGACUAGAUGAUCUAGGUACAACUCCUGCUCGUGGAACAAGAUGUCUGACUAGAUAUUCCGUGUACAUUAGUAUUUCUCUCUACCUUACCUAUUCCGGGUACAUCAAUAUUCCACUCUCCCUUGCCUCUGUUCCAGGUACAUCAAUUAGACCUCACCGCGCCCGUCAUGUUCCUGGUACAGUACUUGGGCAAUAUGUUCCCGGAACAGGUUAUCGCGAAUUCACGAUGCUACGACAAGAGAUGCCAGCUUCGCGAUCAUUUUUUAUUCUUGGGUCGAUUUUACAUGCGUAGACCGGUCGAGGCUGGGACAACAUUGUUACAGAUACCCUUGCAAAAAAAAAAACAUUGUUACAGAGAGGACAGGCACACAGAUUGACACGUACCACAUGUCCAUGCAUCAAUGUGUGGUAAUGACGCGCCAUAUUCCUGCACACCCUAUUUAUUGGCUUACAAAAAGAUGUGGGCCCCAUCUAUUGUCACGUAGAGUAUGCAUUAACAAUAGAUUCUUGCCAUGCACAGAAAAAGCAGAUUCCUGGGUCAAGAUUUAGAGUCCCAACACUUGAGCAGGGAUCGUUCGUGUCAAUACGCCAGCUCGUAGCACUAGACCGGAAUCUAAGUAGGCGUGCGCGCGCGACACUACACGUUCAAAAUAAAACCAUCAUUGUUUAUUGGAUGAAAUGAAAGGCUAGAGAUUUUUCUUUCUUUACUACUACUCCCUCCGUUCCUUCACCACACGAGGCGUUCACGUGAUCAUGUUCGCUUUUUACAGUGGCAUGCAUUCGUGCAGGCGAGACAGGGCUGUCUUGUGUACUAUGCGGUCAGGUCCAGCUGUUUUUAGAAAAGGAGGAUGACCCCCGGUCUCUGCAUCUGGACGAUGCAUACAGCCAUUUUAUUAAUUAUUCUUAUAAGACCUUACAAAGUCAUACAACAGUAAGACUAAAGCCGCUGUCUAAGCAACAAACCGGCGAACCUCAGGUAGGGGGUCCCGAACUGUGCGUCUAGGCGGAUGGUAACAGAAGACAAGGGACACGAUGUUUUUACCCAGGUUCGGGCCCUUUUGAUGGAGGUAAAACCCUACUCCUGCUUGAUUGAUAUUGAUGAUAUGGAUAGUACAAGAGUGGAUCUACCACGAGAUCAAGGAGGCUAAACCCUAGAAGCUAGCCUAUGUUUUGAUUGUUGUUUGUCCUAUGGACUAAAACCCUCCGGUUUAUAUAGACACCGGAGAGGGCUAGGGUUACACAGAGUCGGUUACAAUGGUAGGAGAUCUACAUAUCCGUAUCGCCAAGCUUGCCUUCCACGCCAAGGAAAGUCCCAUCCGGACACGGGACAAAGUCUUCAAUCUUGUAUCUUCAUAGUCUUGGAGUCCGGCCAAUGAUGAUAGUUCGGCUAUCCGGACACCCCCCAGUCCAGGACUCCCUCACCUGGCCUCCGCCGCGCCAAGCCGUCGCCGUCCAAGGACGGGCCGACCUCCCGCUGCCUGCCGCCAUCCGCCGCGCCGCAGAACCCAGAUUGGUCGCGCCACCACACGCCUUGGGGUCCUCCCCACCCCGGGGACGCGCGAGAGAGGAGAUCCCCCGCCACCGCCGUCGGCCCCCGGGCUUAGCCCGGCGGCGUCUUCCGGCGGCGGCGGAGGGAGGGGAGGAGGAAUUUUGUGGCGGCGGCAGCUAGGUUUCUAGCCGCCCAAGUCGCCCCAGAGGAGGACGACGCGGGAGUCAGGUCCAGCUGGACUACAAUGUGGCAAAUAUCACAUGAUACCAUCCUCAGGCAUCUCUGGCUGGACUGAAACAUCCGUGGAUGUGCCUGGUCAGUCGUGUUAACUUCCUAUUUGCCUAUCCACACAGUCAUGUUUCUCACUUUUUUCUUAUAAGUCUAGUCAUAUGCAUAUAAUUGGUGACAUAGGAGAGAAAGAAAGAAAACAAAUAAUAAAGAAAGAAAAAAGAUGCUCAAUGAUGAGCCCAAUUCUAUGUGGUGGACAUAGAACCACUGACCGGACACGCCCCGACACUUCUCAUACUCAUCUCAUAUGAGAUUAAUAUGAGGGGUGCCGGACAGCCCAACAUUUAAGGAGGCUUUUAAGGGUCCGGUUAGGUCAACUUUCUCCUUAUCUCUCAUGUCCCAUUAGUGGUCCCUGCGCCCGCCUGGUCAAUAUAAGGAGUCCGGCUGUAGAUGCUCUUAUGUGAUACCAUGAUGCCGUAUCAAAAACUGUAGUUUUACAUGCUUUAAUUUUUGUUUUCAAAAAAUUUUGGAUGUUCAAACCACAUGAAUGUACAAUCCCUAAAAAAUCAGGUCCAAAUAUGAUAUAUCUAUAUAUAUAUAUUGAGAAACAAAAAUGACAAAUCUAAUGCCACUAUUCAUAUCUGGAUUUGUCGUUUUUGUUCCUCAAUGUGUAUUUACAACUUGGACUUGAAAAUUUUAGGGGUUGUACAUUCAUGUGAUGUCAACAUCCACAAUUUGGGAUCAACACUCAACACUCUACUCCACUUAUCUCGGUCUCCUCCUCUCCUUGGCCCCUUUUGUUUCGAUCCAGGUUGAGUGAUGGCAGCAGCGCAGUGUCCAGUGGCGGAUCCGGCACCGACUGACUCGCCGAACCAGGUGUCAAUGUUGCACGGUGCGGAGUUGGAUGACGCGGAGGAGCUCGCCAUCCGCACCGCACCACUCAUUUCUCCCUAUCUCACGGCGACGUAGUACAGAUGACGACGUUGGUCCAUCAUGUCCACUCAACUCCUGGCGCUCCACGCCCUUCCCGGUCCGCCGCCACCCAUGUCCCUACCAGUCUUCUCUGCCUUCUUCUGACGGGAUCCCGGUCUGCGCUGGGUCCUCGUGCCCGUGACAGCGUACGUGCGAAUGUGGACGUUCGAAUUUGCGGCAUGGGCCGACCUCCACAAGAGGCAGCAGGCGAUAAGAGGGUGGCGACAGGGGAGCCGUUGUCCGCCCGCCAGCCGAACACGAUCGUCGCGCGCAGGCAUAUACGUUGACUUUUAAUGAUAACUAGUGUUUGCAAAAGUCAAGGUGCCCGAAAAUAGUACAACAUUAAAGUACCCAUCAUUGGACGAGGCAAAUGAUAAAUUCUAUGAGGAGUUUUGGCCGUUUGUCAGAAAUAAAAUCUGGUGAGGAUGUCUGGCAUUUUUUAUUUGUUUGGCCCAGAUACAUAUAUUUGGUCUUGUCAUGUGAAUUUUCUUUUUCCAUUUCAUGUUCGUGAACUAUUAGAAAAAUCCCAUGUUCGUAGGUCUGUGGUUCUAGUGGUGUGUUCCGUGGCGCGGCGUAGGUGUCUUCUUCUGCAGACUAGUUCGCUCACAUGCGAGUCACGAGAGCUAACGUGCCGGGUACGGUAUACAGACUGCUCCUAUCCGGAUGGUUGAGACGUGCAUGUGCCCGGUACAUAUAUGAUAAUGUGCCGGGUACAGGAUACAUAUUACUUCUCUAUUUGCAGUAUAGGGUAUAAAUUACUUUCGGCUGAGCUAGCCAUCUAAUAGAACAGCCACAUUACUGGACAUCGAGUUUCUUGGCCCGAGCUCAUAUAAGCUUGGCUGAACAAUAAUUAAAAAAUUGAAAAAAAAAUCUGAUUUUUUUUAGUGACAAGCAUUGUCAAAAGUUUUCAAGCCUUGUAAAAAUUUAUCGUGAAAUGACAUUUAUAGAAGCCAUGACUAAAAAAACUGAUGCUCUAAAAAUGCCAUUUCCAAUAGCAUUUUGGAGCGAUGAUUUUGUUUUCUUUUGCCACGGCUUCUUCAAAUGUCAUUUCACGAUGAAAUUUUACGAACGUUCAAAACUUUUGUUAAUGUUUGUCACUACAAAAAAUCUAGACUUUUUUGAAAAGAAAUCAACACUUUUUCAAUUUUUCAAUACAUGUACCUGGUACAAUCAACACACAUUAAUUGAACUUGGUACAUUCGGGAUGAGUGGUUCGAGAAAAAAAAAUCAUUAUAUAUUUACCAGAAACGAAGGUGUGUGUCAAACAUGGAACCCGAUGGAUGAACACGGACAAUUACUAUUGUACUCGCCCAUAUGUCGCGAACACAAUCUCGUCUCCUUCCUUGAGAUCGGGAUAAGCACCCAACUUGUAAUGGUGCUAAGGGACUGAUAUCUUGCAGCAGUAUAGUGAGUAUCAUCACAGUCGUCAGAUAUGUUAUUCAUCAUGUGUACGAAAGCCGCAUAGGACUCGGCACNNNNNNNNNNNNNNNNNNNNNNNNNNNNNNNNNNNNNNNNNNNNNNNNNNNNNNNNNNNNNNNNNNNNNNNNNNNNNNNNNNNNNNNNNNNNNNNNNNNNNNNNNNNNNNNNNNNNNNNNNNNNNNNNNNNNNNNNNNNNNNNNNNNNNNNNNNNNNNNNNNNNNNNNNNNNNNNNNNNNNNNNNNNNNNNNNNNNNNNNNNNNNNNNNNNNNNNNNNNNNNNNNNNNNNNNNNNNNNNNNNNNNNNNNNNNNNNNUUGAUACAACUUUAUCUACAUUUGUUUUGUCUCCUGCUGGACCGCCUUUCUAGCACCCUGGCCGCCCUGCCCUUACUUGAACUCCGCGACUCCGUCACCUACACCGAUACAGCCAGAAUCCACGACGCUGCGCCGGUUCAGACCAUUCCUCCAUCCACCGCAAAGGUCCAUUCAACCAUAUGGUAGUCACCGUGGCCGGCGAGUGUUAGUUUGAUUGCUCGUGCUAAAUUUUGUUGUCCCUCCUCUCUAAACAAUGGUUCGAAUAUGGUGUAAAUAUAAGCACUAUGUCGAGUCGUCCGACGAUUCUUUAGACGAGGAGAAGAAGACUACUCGGAUGAGAUGCUCUAUGUUGAUAGUAAUGUCGGUUGUUAAUCAUAACUUGUACCCGGUACAUUAACCCAUCAUAAACAUAUAUGUACUAGGUACAAUCAUCGCACAAUAAUUGGACUUGGUACAUUCGACCGCCGCAAGGAUACUCUUGUACCUGGUACAUUAAGUGGAUAUCUGUAUGCUUGUACAUGGUAUAUUUAGACAUAUUUGUACCCGGGUACAUUAAGUGAACUAUUGUAUACUUAUACCUGGUACAUUCAGGCAUAUAUGUAUACUUGUACACCCUUGCUUAAGGACCAUGCUUAAAAGUGCACCCCACGGACCCCGCAUGUCGAUUAAUACAACUUUAUCUGCAUGUGCUUUCUCCAUUAUCGGCACCGCUAUUCCAGCACCCUAGCCGCCCCACCCCACCCUUAAUUGAACUCUGCGACUCCGUCACCUACACCGCUACACCAGGGAUCCGCGACACUUCUCAUCCUCCACCUAUUCAGACCACUCCUCCAUCUACCGCAAACGUACCAUUCACACAUAUGGUAGUCACCAUGCUUGGCAAGUGUUAGCUGGAUUGCCCGUGCUAAAUCAAUCACAACUAACACACAAAAAAACUAUAUUUUUUAUUUAUUUCCAUUGCAAAGGUUCUACUUU
rnacentral:lncRNA from 1 species